rnacentral:rRNA from 2 species
AGACCCGAAACCCGGUGAUCUAGCCAUGGGCAGGUUGAAGGUUGGGUAACACUAACUGGAGGACCGAACCGACUAAUGUUGAAAAAUUAGCGGAUGACCUGUGGCUGGGGGUGAAAGGCCAAUCAAACCGGGAGAUAGCUGGUUCUCCCCGAAAGCUAUUUAGGUAGCGCCUCGUGAAUUCAUCUCCGGGGGUAGAGCACUGUUUCGGCUAGGGGGCCAUCCCGGCUUACCAACCCGAUGCAAACUGCGAAUACCGGAGAAUGUUAUCACGGGAGACACACGGCGGGUGCUAACGUCCGUCGUGAAGAGGGAAACAACCCAGACCGCCAGCUAAGGUCCCAAAGUCAUGGUUAAGUGGGAAACGAUGUGGGAAGGCCCAGACAGCCAGGAUGUUGGCUUAGAAGCAGCCAUCAUUUAAAGAAAGCGUAAUAGCUCACUGGUCGAGUCGGCCUGCGCGGAAGAUGUAACGGGGCUAAACCAUGCACCGAAGCUGCGGCAGCGAACGUAUCACCCAAGACAACUUUACGGAGUUGACGAUUGACGGAGCGAAGCGACGUCAAAGCGUUCAUUAAAGUCGAGUUGGCUUAGGGAUACGUUCGUUGGGUAGGGGAGCGUUCUGUAAGCCUGUGAAGGUGUGUCGUGAGGCAUGCUGGA